ACCUCUUUCAACCGGCAGGUCUAAAAGAUAGCUGCGCAGUGCUCCUGAAUGAACGGCUGUUUCUCGUCUGCUUGCGGCCCCCUCCAUGAAUAUUAUUCUUUUUGUUAAUUCCCAAAUAUUGUCUCUUUCUCUUAUAUCCCCUAAGGAAAAAUGAGCCCUAGCAAGGACAGUUAAUAAGUGGUUGAUUCCUACUCUAUUGUCUAUCAUAUUGCUGUGACCUGUAAGUGCCAUCACAGUAGACAAUUGCUCUUCAUGCCUUGAACAAAUCCUAGGGAGCGUUGGAGAUGAUCAUUUGGAAUAGUGGACCAGAAUAGUUUUAGAGGGUUGCUUUUGUCAAAUGUAUGGGACACAUUUAUUGUAUAAUCUGGAGUGUGUUCCUGCUAUUCAUUUCCCCUUGGUGAAUGGUGUUCAGUUGGAGUGCUUUACGAUCCAACUCAGCCACUCUUGAUUUGUGUUACUGGGACAAGUAACAACCACUGUUGGUGUCAUCUUUAUAUAGAGGUAGUUUCCUAGGUGACCUUGAUGAGUACUCAUAGGUCUAAUAUUUAAUGCAUAUAUCACAAUGCUAUUAAUGGUGGCAUUUAAUUCAUGUGCGUUUAAUAAGCAUUUAAUGCUUCUCCACAAACACAAACACAUUUAUCACCUCUCUCCUUGUAAAAACUACAAUCUAGUAGUAGUAUAGCUCAUGUGAGAAAAUCUAACCAAUCCAAGUGCUGCAUUUUACACGUGAAAAACUGAAUUUUUUUUUCAGUUCAAGGUCUCAUGAAGGAGUGAACUUCCAAGCGAACCUAGAAUCCAGUUAUGAAUGCUAGCCUGGUAUUCAUUCACAUUAUAAAAAAUUCUUUAACAGAAGUAAGGUAGCAAAGUAGGGCAGUGCUAGAGUUUUAAUGUCAGAUGGCUGUGUCAGCUCCAUGUUCUUGGACAGGUUUUUUCACUUCCCUAGACCUCAGUCUUCUCAUUUUUAUAAUGAGGGUAGGGGCAACAAUAAUCAUAUUAGCCACAUUUUGUUUCUUUUGAAACAGAGCAUGGAACUGGUAGCUUUAGAGGAGGGGCUGGGCUCACUGCGUCCUUCCCAUGUGGAACACAUCAGAAUCCACUCAGGAACCCCUCCGGUUGAGCCCUUCCAAAUGUGCCCCCUCCAGCCAUGCCGUGAGGGCCCUGACACCAGGUCACCCUGACUCACACACUCCAGCCUUCAGUAAGCUGGCCCGAACUACCAGGCACACACAGUCUACCCAGGGACCUUCCUUACCCAAGGCCGAUCCUUCAAGACUGGGAGACGUAGCUCUUUCUCCUAACUGAUAAAAUCAAGCACAGAAAGUCAAACAAAAUGAGGAGACAGAGAAAUAUACUUAAACAAAAGAACAUGACACAACUUAAGAAAAAGAACCAAAUGAAACAAGAGUUAAGCAAUCUAUCAGAUAAAGGUUCAAGUUAAUGAUUAUAAAGAAACUCACCAGACUUGAGAGAAGAGUGGAGGAACUCAGUGACAACCUCUACAGAGAGAGAGAAAAUCUAAAACAAACCAAUCAGAAAUGAAGAAUGCAACAAGCACAAUAAAAAAAUGACAAAUACAUGAGCGGGAAUCAGCAGCAGACUGGAGGGUCCCCAAGACCAGGUCGGCGCCUUGGAAGGCAGUGAUAGGAAGUACUCAAGCUGACCGGAAAAAGAAGGAAUAAAAGGAAAUGAAGAUAACUUAAGAGAGCUUUGGGACAAUAUCAAACAUCCAAACAUUUGCAUUAUAAGAGUCCCAGAAGAAGAGUAAAAGGAGUAGAAAACUUAUUGGAAGAAAUAAUAGCUGAAAACUUCCCUAAACCAGAGAAAGAAACAGACAUCCAGGUAUAGGAAGCAGAGAGAAUCCUAAUCAAGACAAACCCAGGUGGGCCCACACCAGGACACAUCAUGAUUGAAGUAUCAAAGAUCAGAAAAAAUGAGAAAAUCUUAAAAACAGCAAAAGAAAAGCAAUGGGUUACAUACAAGGGAAACCCCAUAAGACAAUUAGCUGAUUUCUCAGCAGAAACUCUAGGGAAGUGGCAUGAUAUAUUCAAAGUUCUGAAAGAGAAAAAAAAAAAACCUACAACCAAGAAUACUCCACCCAGCAAGGUUAUCAUUCAGGAUAAAAGGGGAGAUGAAGAGCUUCACAGAUAAAAAUAACUUUAAAGAGUUCAGCACCACUGCACUGUCCUUAUGAGAAAUGUUAAAGGGUCUUCUUUAAGAGGAAAACAAGACCCUAACUAGAAGCAAGAACAAUCUGAAAAUGAAAAUUUCACAGGUAAAAACAAAUGUGUGUCAGUGGUAGUAGAUCAGUCACUUAAAAGCUAGUAUAAAGGUCAAAAAGACAAAAGUAGUAUAAUCAAUUACAUUUAAAAGUUAGUUAAGGAAAUCACUAAAUAAAAAGGUAAAAAGGUAAAAGGAAAUCACUAAAUAAAAAGGUAAAAGAAGGAGGAGGGGGAGUAAAAAAUGUAUUGUUAUAAUGCAUUUGAACUUAAGUAACCAUCAACUUAUCAUUGGUUGCUAUGUGUGUAGGAUACCCUGUAAGAACCCCAUGGUAACCACAAGCCAGAAACCUAUAAUGGAUUCACAGAAAAUGGAGAAACAAAUUCAAAUGUAACACUAAAGAAAGUCACAAUACACAAGGGGAGAGCAAGAGAAAAAGAGAGGGUAAGAGAGGAACAAGAAAAACAACCAUGAAACAUUUGACAAAAUGGCAAUAACUACAUACCUAUCAAUAAGUACUCUAAAUAUAAAUGACUAAAUGCUCCAUUCAAAAGACAUAGGAUGACUGAAUGUAUUAAAAACAGGACCCAUCUAUUUGCUGCCAAAAGAGAUUCACUUUAGAUCUAAAGACUGAAACUGAAGGGAUGGAAAAAGAUAUUCCAUGAAAAUAGGAAUAAGAAAAAUGCUGCAGUAGCAAUACUUAUGUCAGACAAGAUAGACUUUAAAACAAGGGCUGUAACAAGAGACAAAGAAGCUACAUUACAUAGUGAUUAAGGGCACAAUCCAGCAAGAAGCCAUGACAUUUAUAACUAUCUAUGCACCCAACAGUGGAGCUCCUAAAUAUACAAAGCAAAUAUUGACAGACAUAAAAGGAGAGAUUGAUAGUAAAAUAAUAAUAGAAUAGGACUUUAAUGCCCCACUUAUAUAAACAGAUAGAUCAUCCAGACAGAAAACCAAUAAGGAAACGGUGGAUUUGAGUGACAUAUUAGAUGAAAUGGAACUGUAGUCAAAUAUAUUCAGAAUGAUACAUACAAAAGCAGUACAAUAUACAUCGUUUUCAAGAGCGCAUGGAACAUUCUCCAGCCUAGAUCAUAUUUUAGGCCACAAAGCCAGUCUCAAUAAAUUUAAGAAGAUUGAAGUCAUGUCAAGUAUCUUCUCCAACCACAGUGGUAUGACAGUGGAAAUCAAUUAUAAGAAAAAAAGUGGAAAACACACAAACACGUGAAGGCUAAACAGCAUGCUGCUAAAUAACCAAUGAGUCAUCAAAGAAAUCAAAGAAGAAAUUUUAAAAACUUGAAAAAUAAUGAAAAUAGAAAUAAAACAGUUCAAAAUCUUUGGGCUGCAGGAAAAACAGUCCUAAGAGGAAAGUUUAUAGCAAUACAGGCCUACCUCAAGAAGCAAGAAACAUCUCCAUCUAACCCAACACCUAAAGGAACUAGAUAAAGAAGAACAAGGCCCAAAGUUAGUAAAAGAAAGGAAAUAACAAAGGUCAGAGCAGAAAUAAAUUAGAGACUAAAACAACAACAACAAAAAUACAAAAGGUAAUUGAAACUAAGACCUGGUUCUUUGAAAUGAUAAACAAAAUUCAUAAAACUUUAGCUAGACUUAUCAAGGAAAAAAGAGAGAGGACUCAAAUAAAUAGAAUCAGAAAUGAAAGAGAAGUCACACCGACACGACAGAAAAACAAAAGAUUGUGAGAGUAUUAUGAAAAAUUAUAUGGCAACAAAUUGGACAACUUAGAAGAAAUGGAAGAAUUCCUAGAAACUUAACAAUCUUCCAAGAGUGAACCAGUAAGAAAUAGAAAAUUUGAACAGAUCAAUUACUAGGAAAGAAAUUGAAUCAGUAACCAAGAACUCCCCCAAAACAAAAUCCCAGGACCAGAUGGGAAACAUUUAAAGAAAAGUUGAUCACUAUCCUACUCAAACUAUUCCAAAGUUGAAGAAGAAGGAAAGCUUCCAAAUUCAAACCAUGAGGCCAGCACCACCAUGGUGCCAAAACCAAGCAAAGACACCAUAAAAAAAGAAAGCUACAGACCAGUGUCCCUGAGGAACAUCGGUGCAAAAACCCUCAGCAAAAUAUUAGCAAACCAAAUUAAAAAAAACGUUAAAGAGAUCAUUUACCAUGAUCAAGUAGGAUUUAUCCUAGGGACGCAAGGAUGGUUCAGCAUCCACAAAUCAAUCAAUGUGACACAGCACAUUAACAAAAAGCAGUAUCAAAAUCAUAUGAUCACCUUAAUAGGUACUAAGAAAGCAUGUGACAAAGUUCAACAUCCAUUCAUGGUAAAAACACUCAACAAAGUGAGUAUAGAGGGCACAUCACUCAACAUAAUAAAGGUCAUAUAUGACACACUCACAGCUAACAUUAUUCUCAAUGGUGAAAAGCUGGAAGCUUUUCCCCUAGAAUCAGGUGUAAGGCAAGGAUGUCCAGUCUUACCACUGUCACUCAGCGUAACUCCUAGAAGUCCUAGCCACUGCAAACAGACAAGAAAAAGGAAUAAAAGGCAUUCAGAUUGGUAAGGAAGAAGUUAAACUGUCACUAUUUGCAGAUGAUACUAUAUAUAGAAAACCCUAUAGAUUCCACCAAAAAACUAUUAGAAUUAAUAAAUGAGUUUUUUAAAGUUACAGGAUACAAAUUCAAUGUACAGGGUUCUGUUGCAUUUCUAUAUACAAAUAAUGAAUUUAAGAAAACAAUCCCAUUUAUAAUUGUUUCAAAAAGAAUAAAAUACCUAGGAACAAAUCUAACCAAGGAGGUGAAAGACCUGUACUCUCCAAAUUAUAAAACACUGAUGAAAGAAAUUGAAGGUAACACAAAUAAAUGGAAAGCUAUCCCAUGCUCAUGGAUAGGAAGAAUUAAUAUUGUUAAAAUGGCCAUACUGCCCAAAGCAAUCUUCAGAUUCCAUGCAAUUCCUAUCAAAAUACCAAUGGCAUUUUUCACUGAACUAGAGCAAGUAAUCCUAAAAUUCGCAUGAAACCACAAAAGUCCCUGAAUAGCCAAAAGCAAUCCUGAGAAAAAAGAACAAAACUAAAGGUACUAUGCUCCCUGAUUUCAAACUUCCCUACGAAGCUACAGUAAUCAAAACAGUAUGGCAUUGGCACAAGAACUGAUACACAGACCAAUGGGAUAGAAAUAAAUUCAUGCCUAUACGGCCUAUUAAUUUAUGAUAAAAGAGACAAGACCAUACAAUGGGGAAAAGUCUUUAAUAAGUGCUCUUGAGAAAACUGGACAGCUACAUGUAGAAGAAUGAAACUGGAUCAUUGUCUUACAUGAUCCACAAAAAUGAACUCAAAGUGGAUUAAGGGCCUAAAUAUAAGACCUGAAACCAUAAAAUUUCUAGAAGAAAAUGUAAGUAGUACACUCUUGAACAUCAACAUUAGACAUUUUUUUCUGGAAUGUCUCCUUAGAAAAAGAAAACAAAAACAAAAAUAAGUGGGACUACAUCAGACUAAAAAGCUUCUGCACAGCAAAGGAAACAAACAAAAUGAGAAGGCAACCUACUGUGUAGGAGAAUAUUGCAAAUGAUAAAUCUGACAAGGGGCUAAUAACCAAAAUAUAUAAAGAACUCAUGCAUCUCAUCACCAAAAAAAAAUAAGAAUCCAAUAUUUAAAAAUGUGCAGAGGACCUGAAUAGACAAUUUUCUAAAGACAUACAGAUGGCCAACAUGAAAUGAUGCUCCUCAUCACUAGUCAUCAGGGAAAUGCAAAUCAAAACCACAAUGAGUUAUCACCUUGCAGCAGUCAGAAUGGUUUCUAUCCAAAAGACAAGAAAUAACAAGUGUUGGUGAGUAUGUGUAUAAAAGAGAAUCCUUGUGUACUAUUUUUGGGAAUGUAAAUUGGUCCAGCCACUGUGGAAAGCUAUAUGGAAGUUCCUCAAAAAUCUAAAAGCAGAAAUACCAUAUGACCAAGCAAUUCCACUUCUAGGAACGUACCUGAAGAAAAUGAAAUAAUUAAUGUGAAAAGAUACACGCACCCCUAUGCUUAUUGCAACAUUAUUUCUAAUAGCCAAGAUAUGUAAGCAACCUAAGUGUCCAUCAGUAGAUGAAUGGAUAAAGAAGAUGUGGUACAUAUACACAAUGGAAUAUUAUUUAGCUUUAGCCUUAAAAUAUAAAGAAAUCUUGCCACUUCCAACAACAUGGAUGUACCUAGAGGGUAUUAUGCUAAAUGAAAUAAUUCAGUCAGAGAAAGAAGAAUACCAUGUGGUUUCUCUUAUAUGUGGAAUCUGAAAAACAAAAAUGAACAAAUUAAAAAAAACAGAAAUAGACUCGUGAACACAGAGAAUGGACAGUUGGUUACUGUAGGGGGAUGGCUGAAACAGGCGGAGGGGAUACAGCGGUGCAAACUUCAAACCAUAAAAUAAUUCAGUCAUAGGCAUGGAAGUACAGCAUAGGGAAAAAGCUCCUAAUAUUGUAAAAUUUUUAUGUGGUGACCACUGGUAACUACACUUAUCAUGGUGAGCAUUUAACAAUGUAUAUAAUUGAUAAAUAACUAAGUCAUUCAUCUGAAACCAAUAUAAUAUUGUAUAUAAGCUAUAUGCCAAUAAAAAAUGUUUUAAAAAGAAGAAUUUAGCAAUUCUUAAGAAACAGAAAGGAUUGCCAUAGAGGAAGGAAUGAGUGAAAUAGGUGAAGGGGAUAAAGAGGUACAAACUGCCGGUUAUAGAAUAAGUAAGUCCCGGGGAGAGUCAGUAUGGUCGUAACUUUGUGUGGUGACAGAUGGUAACUACACCUAUCAUGGUGAGCAUUUUAUAAUGCAUAUAAUUGUUGAAUCACUACGUUGUACACCUGAAACUAACAUAAUAUUUAUUGUAUGUCAACUGUAUUUCAAUAACAAAAGAGAAAGGAGGUCAUUAUGUCUCAAGAUUAUUGCAUGGGAAUUUCAGGAAAUGAGUUUGGAAAGUCAUAUAAGUCUUUUUAGGCCAAGAGGACUUUGAAUUUUAUUCUGUGUGUGAUGAGAGGCCACUGGCGGUUUCUGAGCAUAGCCACAACUACAACUGGAAUACCAGCAAUGUGAAUCAUUAAGGAUACCUUCCUUUCCAAUAGUACUGGAUUAAAAUUCCAUGACUUUAUAUUUCUUUGAAUCUUCAGGAUAUAUUUUACCACCACUUACCUAUUUCUUACAUGUGCAAAGGGAGCUCCCUAAAAAGAAUAUUUAUAGUUCAUAUAUACAUACACACAACACACACAUUCAUAUGUAUAUAUUCAUGUUACAUACAGUCAUACACAUCUUGUUUUGGUACCAAGUGAAACUUUGGAAGAGAAAUAUUUUGUAUACAAUUCGCAGUAUUUGGAUCUUGGGUCAACUGCGCCAGAAUCACCUGGACUCCUUGUUAAAAGUCAGAUCACUGAGUUCCAACCUAGAUGAUGCCAAUUAAACCGUCAGGAUGGUCGGUGAAUCUGAAUUUUAUAAAA